rnacentral:hammerhead_ribozyme from 1 species
AUCCGGAUGAUGAGUUCAAAAUAGAAUGAAACGUACGUCUUGGGU